ACUUAACUAAUUUAGAUAUUUACAUAGGUUCUUAACACCCUUAAGUCUUGUCGACUUGUCUAGGCGCUGCACAUUCCUCUAGGUAUAUAAAAA